rnacentral:rRNA from 1 species
CUAGAAACACUAACAAAUAAGGGGUGGGCAAGUUCUGGUGUCACCCCCCGCGGUAAAACCAGCCCCUCAAGUGGUCAGGAUGAUUAUUGGGCCUAAAGCAUCCGUAGCCGGUUCUGUAAGUCCUCGGUUAAAUCUGUACGCUUAACGUACGGGCUGCCGGGAAUACUGCAUAGCUAGGGAGUGGGAGAGGUAGACGGUACUCGGUAGGAAGGGGUAAAAUCCUUUGAUCUAU